rnacentral:lncRNA from 1 species
UGUAAAAAUACAUCAAGAUGCGUCCUUGAGGUUCGUGUAAACUGUGUAGAUUAUAAAACAAAACUUAAAAUCUCCUUUAAGCUCCUGAGGAGCCCAGGGCCAUUGUUUCUGACAUGCUGCCUCCGCCCUUCCCCCUCCAAACCCUUCCCCCACGGCAGCCAGCGCGACUUUUAAAACAUAGAUCAGGCCACUCUCCUAUUUAAAACUCUCGGGUGGGGGUGUCUUCUCAUUGGAAUAAAGUCCAAACUCCAAUAAAAUCCCAAAUCCAUGACCAAAAGGGUCCAACCAGAUCAGGCCAGGCCCUGCCCUCCGACCCCGGGGCCUCUGUGCUGGCCGCCAGCUCCCCUCUGUCCCUCGGGCUUGGAAGCCCCCGCUUGCUCGCGGGUAGCGUGUACCUCCUGCGUGUCACCCUGGGGGGCUUUCUUGGCUUCUCUUGUCACCUGGGUCUGAGCUCAGAUGUCCCCUCCUCACGGUGACCAGACGCCCACCGGGCCCCAUGCUGUUCGCCCCAUCACCCCAGUGCUUCCUCUCAGACUCCAGCCAGUGUCUGAGGAGGAGCUGGCCUGCAUCGUUAGGGGACGCAGCCCACCUCGCGCUCUGAGAGUCAUUCUCACCCAGCAGGCCGUCCCUCUGUUCCUGUGUCCGCCCGCGGCUGAGCGCGGGGCUGCUGCAUGGCCCUGACCCUUUCACCGACGGAGUCUGCGGUCUUUCCAAAGGAUGUUCUCAGGACGGACACAGGCCUCCAAGACCCACCUGCCGUCCCCGCUGAGGGGCACAUGGCCCGUCCUGACCUCGAGGCGAUUCUUGGAAGGCGACUUAGGUCGUGGCUCAAGUGGGAAAGCAAGCCUGUGGCCGGGAAGGUCAGCUCCAUGAGAGGGGCCUUUCAGCUCUGCAUCCAGAGGUCGGGAAGAGCGCCUGAGAUUCUAGCUCUGAGACACCAAGUCAUCUCCCAUCUCCACUGACGUGGAUACAGCCAAUUG